AGGGGGGGCAAGCGUUGUUCGGAAUUACUGGGCGUAAAGGGUCUGUAGGUGGCCAACUAAGUCAGACGUGAAAUCCCUCAGCUUAACUGGGGAACUGCGUCUGAUACUGGAUGGCUUGAGUGCAGGAGAGGAAUGCGGAAUUCCAGGUGUAGCGGUGAAAUGCGUAGAUAUCUGGAGGAACACCGGUGGCGAAGGCGGCAUUCUGGACUGUAACUGACACUGAGAGACGAAAGCCAGGGGAGCAAACGGGAUUAGAUACCCCGGUAGUCCUGGCCCUAAACGAUGAAUGCUUGGUGUAACGGGUAUCGAUCCCUGUUGUGCCGAAGCUAACGCAUUAAGCAUUCCGCCUGGGGAGUACGGUCGCAAGGCUG
rnacentral:rRNA from 1 species